UACGAGUGCCUCAAGCGUUAUCCGGUAUCACUGGGCGUAAAGAGCAUGUAGGCGGUCUUGUUAGUCCUUCGUUAAAGCUCCUGGCUUAACCGGGAAGGUGCGAGGGAAACGGCAAGACUAGAGGGCGAGAGAGGUUUGCGGAACUCAUGGUGUAGGGGUGAAAUCCGUUGAUAUCAUGGGGAACACCGAAUGCGAAGGCAGCAAACUGGCACGUUCCUGACGCUGAGAUGCGAAAGCGUGGGUAGCGAAUGGG
rnacentral:misc_RNA from 1 species